UGGCCUUGACAUCCACGGAAGUCUGCAGAGAUGCGGAUGUGCCUUCGGGAACCGUGAGACAGGUGCUGCAUGGCUGUCGUCAGCUCGUGUCGUGAGAUGUUGGGUUAAGUCCCGUAACGAGCGCAACCCUUGUCCCUAGUUGCCAUCAUUCAGUUGGGCACUCUAGGGAGACUGCCGGUGACAAACCGGAGGAAGGUGGGGAUGACGUCAAGUCCUCAUGGCCCUUAUGGGCAGGGCCACACACGUGCUACAAUGGCCGGCACAGAGGGUUGCCAACCCGCGAGGGGGAGCUAAUCUCAGAAAGCCGGUCGUAGUCCGGAUUGGAGUCUGCAACUCGACUCCAUGAAGCUGGAAUCGCUAGUAAUCGCGAAUCAGAAUGUCGCGGUGAAUACGUUCUCGGGCC
rnacentral:rRNA from 1 species